GAUGAAGAACGUAGCGAAAUGCGACACGUAGUGUGAAUUGCAGAAUUCAGUGAAUCAUCGAAUCUUUGAACGCACAUUGCACCUCUCGGUAUUCCGGGAGGUAUGCCUGUUCGAGCGUCAUUUGUACCCUCAAGCUCUGCUUGGUGUUGGGUGUUUGUUCCGCCUCUGUGUGUGAACUCGCCUCAAAACAAUUGGCAGCCGGCGUACUUGUUUCGGAGCGCAGCACAUUUUGCGAUCCAGAUCAACGUACAGCGGCAUCCAAGAAGCCUUAUUUAACGCUCUUGACCUCGGAUCAGGUAGGGAUACCCGCUGAACUUAAGCAUAUCAAUAAGCGGAGGA
rnacentral:misc_RNA from 1 species